UAUCCCAUAUUCUCUUAAAUGCUCAAUUAGUUGUCAGUUGAGAUCAAUUGAGUACCUGUGUACUAUAUCUUUUGUUAGUUGUAACAAUUAGAGCUCCUUUGUGCUCUAAAUGUUGUCAAUUGGGACCAAUAGAGUAACCAGUGAACUCUGAAGAGAUUAAUUAUUAAUAAAGAGACAGACCAAUAUUAAUAAGUACAAGAGAGGGCAUUUUUGGUAACGUUAAUAAUUGGUCAAUUGGUACUGGAAGAUAAAAUAUCAAUUGAGAUAUUUUUAUUACUACUUGAUAUUAUUUAUAUAUAUUAUAUGGUACGUGUGGUGGAAAAGGAAAAAAGAAGAAGUGGAUAAGAAGAGAGGUGGUAGGUAAGAGGAAAGUAGAGAUAUCAGAAAGAAAGAAAGAAAGGGAAGAGAAGAGAAAGGGAAAGAAAGAGGAAAAGAGGAAAAGAAGGAAGAGAAAGAGAAGAAGAGGAAGGAAGAAAGAAGAUGGAAAAUCAUCUUCAUCAACUCAUCUUCAUCAUCACCAACUUCAUCUUCUUCUACUAGGUAUUCUUUACAGGUUGAAUUUAAGAGAAACUGUUAUGGAUGUUUCAAGGGUUGUUGUUCAUUAUGAUCUUCCGCUGUGGAGUUGUGUGCAAUGAAGAUAUUGUACAUAGUUCUUAGAUUUUUAUUGUUUAGGCAUUAUUGUAUGACAUGUUCCAUUGAUGUUUUAGUUUGGACAUGUAUAUAUAUUGAUGCCAUUAGGCACUUAUGUUGUGACAGUACCAAAAUUUAACACUUGUAUGAUAUUAUUCUAGAUAUAUAUUAUACGGGUUGUUACAGUUGGUAUCAGAGCAGGUCGAUUCUCGACCUAGCCUUGAAACAUCAUAAGUAGAUCUAUUCCUGCCUCAUAUGUGUGUUUAGCCAACAUGAUUCUUAAUAUCACUGUAUAUAGUAUUGGGCCUGAUCAACCUAAUAUUAUGUGCAUGGUAGGUAGGAUCAUGGUUGAGCGACCACGAGGACUCCGAAGCGUGGGUUGAACUUGUGCUUUGAGAAUAGGCUCAAGCCAAGAGUUAGAAAGUAAGGAGAACUUGAUGGCCCAGUUGAAGUUUCAGAGGAGUUAUGAUUUGGGUAUUAUGGGAUUGAAGAGUAGUGUAUCAUCCAAGCGAUUCUGCGGUGUUAACAGAGUUAAGAAGUUGAGGAUCUCUAUUGGAUGAAUUGUCAGAAUUUUGAGGAAUGAGUGAAUUUGUUAGUGGAGUAAGAUAUACUCAAUAAUAUGGAAUAGUAUUGUGAAUAAUUCCGUAUGGUAAAGUAGAAAGGAUGGUUAUGUUACACAUAUGUCAUAAGGUUUGGAAGUGAGGUAGUGUAUCAGUGUUUCAGUUUCUAAGGCCACUAAAAUAUUUUGGAAGAACGAGAGUACUUAAUGGAAUAUAUAUAUUUGGAAUGGUACCUUGCAAGUGGUUGAAGACUUUAGGGAUAAGGACGUUCAGUUUUGUUGGGAGCCUAAGGUAGUGGUGAAGUCUAAGAAGAGACUCGAGGAUAUGGUUGCCUAUUCCAAGUGAAACAUGUAUGGACCAAAUGGAGGUUAGAAGAUAAACCAAGUAUGUUCAGUUUUAGAAGGGAGAUCGGCUUUGAGAUAGCUCGUCAGCGGUUCAGUGUUAGUAAGAGACCAUUAUGGAAUGAUGAGUUACCUAAAGAUCAAUUAUAAGAGUUUGUGUUGGAGACAGAUAACGCACAUUAUAUAGUAAUGGAAGCUCCAGUGGGCUUUGGUUAUAUGAGAACUGGUUGAGGAUAAGAGCAAUUAAGUUGGAUUUAAGGACUUCUAGUAUAAUGGUUUUGUAAUUGGAACGGAGAGAAUUACCAUAGGGAGACAAGUCAACACCGAGUGCGGAAGUAGUGUGGAUGUUGCAAUACAACUGUUGUAAUAGGGCACAUUUUAGAUAGAGGCACAAUGGGACCAUUAAGAUUCAUUAAGACAAAGUUAUGGGCGUGUAGUUGAUGAUUGUUCACAUCGAGGAUUUCUAGAGUAUGUAGUGUGUGGCACACGAGGUCGGAGAGGCCGAAGAGUGGUUACAUGUAACAUUCGAGGGCGAUGGAGUGGUUGUCGAUGCAUGAUGCAUGACAAUGAGACACUCCUAGCAGCUUCUAGGGGAAAAACCGAAUUCACAUCGGAAUGAGAGGGAUCCUGAGGCUGUGCAGGUAUGAGACUACAUGGUUGAAAGAAGGCUUAUAAGGAUUAAUUGGUACUACCUAUAUCAACAAGAUGCAUCUUCUUUUCGGUAUCCUAAUCAAUAAGAACUCCAUAGUUAAGCGUGCUUGACUUGGAGUAGUAUUGGGAUGGGUGACCUUCUGGGAAGUUUCCUGGAAAGCGUGCGAGUGAGGACAAAACAUGUUGAAAAGACCCGUGUUGAUUUGUGGGGUUAGUUGAUAAUCCUGAAAGCAGUCUGGGGUGUUACAUAGCGGAAUAGAGGAAGUUAAACCUUGGUGUUAAGAGAAGUAUGUGAUAGCAGUAUUAUGGUCACAAGUAAGUGUAAUGGAUUCCUUGUCUUGAGAUGGAUGUAAAGUAACAUACAUUUUUUGAGCAGUGAGUCUUGUAUUCUAAGAAGUUUAGUUGAUGAUAGCCAACAAAAGAUAAGCUAAGCUGGAGCAUGUGGACUAAGUGUAGAAUGUGGAAUAUUUUAUGUUGCAAGCGUUUAUUGGGAGGCAAUGAGGAUUAUUCGUGGGGAGUUAUAGAGACAAGUAACCCCGGUAUAAUGCAGUGUGUAGUAGGUAUUGGUUUAGAAGAAAAUUCUAGUCAUAAUUGUGUGGCAAUGAUAAGGUUCAUCUUAAGUGCAUUUUAUUUGGAUUGAAAGAGUAAUAUUGGCUUAUUGGAAGUCUGGUUGUUAUUUAUCUUCUUGAGAAGUAUUUGGUUGGUUGGUUAGUCGCGGAGUAUAAACAUUCACACCGUAUUGGAGCUAAGGAUGUCUUAAAUGUCAUAAGUGUAUCGUUGUGGAUGUACAAAUCGAGGAUGGAGUUACAAGUUACCACAAGUCAGAUUGGUAGUUUUGAAAUUGGGAUUUAUGAAGGUGUAGUGCGUAGUCAGUCAUCUGUAGAGAUACUAUGGAAGUUAGACGCGUGGGAAAACCAACCUGGUAGACCAUGCUCAGUUUAAGUAAGUCUGGGAAGUACCAUUAUUAUGAUUAUGAAUAACUAUAAGGAACAGACUUGGAAGAGACCUACUAAGCGGUGAUCUGGAAGAGAUUAGCUAGGUAUGUGGUAUAAAUUGAUAGGGUGUGAAGCGGUUGGUCAUGGUAUGAAAUUGAUUGAUUCAUUUGGAUUCAUAGCCUUAGGUGUAGACUCCAUGAGAAUGGUGAUGGAUGUGUACGAUGAUACUUUACCCUAUUGGAAGGAUCCAUGAGUUAUACUUCCCAGGAGGAACGAGAAUCAGUUAUUCCUACGGUUAAACAUGUAACUCGGAUGGUAUGUUAGUAAGAGCAUGAGCUAAGAUUAUAGAAGACGGGACAAGACGAUUGAGAUGAAUGACCUUGGAUACGAAGUGAAAUGUUGUCUCUAGAUAUGUGUGAAGUAUUGUGUGUGACUCUACGAGAUGUAUGGACACUCAUAGUUAUGUUCUAGAUUGCUUAAGUUCCUUAGAAGUGGUGUUUUGUUGAUAAUUAAAAGUUUUUUGACGGUGUUACUUUGUUAUUGGCCGAGAUUAUGUGUCGGGAGAAAUCUUGAGUGAAUCAAAACCCUAUGAGAGGAUUUGAUAUGGAAUAUAGUAACCAGAACCGGAUGUUGUCAAACUAAUUUGGUUUAGCUGCACCAAACACAUGAUGAAUUCGGAUGUUCUAUGUUGUUAUGGUUGUAGCAAUGUAACUCCUGGAUACCUGCCUUCUGAAGAGUGCUGGUCUUAUUCUGAACUUUUGUGAGUCACCAAGGAAGUUAUUCUACUAAUUAAUAGAAGUUGGUAAGGUUCUAGUACCAUUUUGGACAGUAGGCACUCUGAGGGUAAGUGUGUUUCUUUGAAGAUUGUUAGCUAAACAGUAGUGCCUAGGAAUCCCGAGUGUUCCACUAUUGGAAUCAGAGAAUCACAAUGGAAGGUGAUGGAUGAAAGAGCCCAAUCAAGUUUAUGGGGAUCAGGGAGAUAGUUACUCGUAAGAAUGGAGGUAAGGAUGAGAGUAAGAUAAUCUCGUGCUAAUGGUUCUAUCUUAUUGGAGUAGUACGAGAGAAGGGAAACAAUUGGAGUAGAGGUUUGCAACAUGUAGCAUUAUGCCAGGUGAAGUUUAUGAGAUUAUCAAUAAAUGGAUUACAAAGUUGUUGCAUUUGUUGAAGGAAUAACAAGAAAAUGGCAGUCAAUAUUAUUUGUGGUCAGGGAAUCAAUAAAUUUUCUUAUGAAGAAUUAAUGAGUAUUGAUUAACCAAGUCAAGAUAAGAUGUUGUAAUUAUGUUUUGUGUAACUUAGUACAAGGAAGGGAAGUUGUGGUUUCCGGGAAGAAAGUGACCCACUGAUGUUGAGCGAUAUAUAAGAGGAAUUAAGUGGGAGCAAGUUUAAAUGUUAAUCCAAUAUUAGAAUGAGAUUGUGAUGGAAAUCAAGAAGUUUCGGGAGUCCAUGAAAGAAGGAAAAUUGUUAGCAAAGAUAAGUUAGAAGAAUAAGUAUGUCAGAGACUUGAAAUCGAAGAGAAGUCAAGUGUUGGUCUAAGACGUUGAUACAAGGAUUGUUUGUUUGUUGAGUGAAGGAAAUUCGGGGGCGAAUUUCAAUUUAAGGGGGGGAGAAUGUAAUAUCCCAUAUUCUCUUAAAUGCUCAAUUAGUUGUCAGUUGAGAUCAAUUGAGUACCUGUGUACUAUAUCUUUUGUUAGUUGUAACAAUUAGAGCUCCUUUGUGCUCUAAAUGUUGUCAAUUGGGACCAAUAGAGUAACCAGUGAACUCUGAAGAGAUUAAUUAUUAAUAAAGAGACAGACCAAUAUUAAUAAGUACAAGAGAGGGCAUUUUUGGUAACGUUAAUAAUUGGUCAAUUGGUACUGGAAGAUAAAAUAUCAAUUGAGAUAUUUUUAUUACUA